AACCACUGUGCCCGAGGCAGAUGUGACCAACGCGGUGACAGAGCGAAGUCGCUUUAAAGUCAUCCUGGUCAACGCUGACCAGAACCAGGACAACAUCAUCGCUGUGAACGGCACUGCGGGCUUCUCUAUCACCUUGAAGCCGAAAGAGGUGGCACAGGAGUGGGUGGAGGAUAGCAUAGCGGGAAAAGUCAUAUCGGGCACGGCUCCGUUUCUGGCACUGUUCGGGCACCCAUGUGCCAUUUAUGCCAACUGUACGUGUGGUCUGCUCUUCACACCGAUGCUGCCCACCAAACCCACCGAUGCCAUCUACAUUAUCCCACCUGCAUUCAGUGCAGAUAUUCAAGUGUUGAUGCCAUCUAAAGGUAAGAGGGAGACCUUGUCCUCGAUGAGGGUGAAUGACCCAGGCCCUGUGGUGCUCCAGAGGCCUGGGCUGCUCCUGAACCUUAUCUCAGAGGAUGAUUUUGGCUCGUGUUUCGCUGUUCACACCGUGAGCGACACACAGAACUGGGUGGUUGUCAUGGUGCCCUCAGACUCCACCGGGCAUGUGCACAUCAACACUGCCAUUGCAGACACCACCUGGAGUGCUGUGAGUGACACCAAGUACAGCUGGGCCAAAAUACACCUGGACCCCGGCAAACACAUUGUAUGGCACGAGUCUGCUCUCAUGGCCGUGUGGUUCAUCGGAGAGAAAGUCCAAUCUACCAUGUUUGGAAACCCAGCAGCCCGCCUCAGCAUUUUCCCAGAUUAUCGCGGCUGUGUGUUGAGCCCAGAGCAUGUGGAGAUCUUGACACAGCAGAGCUCAUGGCAGGAGUCCAUCCAAGCCUGUAGGAACCUCAGCCUGGACCUGAUCAGCCUCACAGACCCAACCCUCCAGAGCAAUAUCUACCAGAAGAUCCAGAACCACAAAGACAACCUGACAGAUCUAUGGAUGGGGCUGAGGAAGAGCUCGUAUUCUGGAGAGUGGUACUGGAUCAGCGAGGAGCCACUGCAGCAUGUGGACUGGGCAUACGGCUCUCCAGAUGAAGAUGACAUGAGACACUGCGCCCGGAUCAGCCGCACGGACCCACAGCGCCUCAGCUGGACCCAUCACGACUGCUGCAGCGAAGCUCGACCUGUGUGCUAUCGACACCCCACACUGCUCACCAUCUAAGCCUCAGCAGCUAAACCAAGACUAAACCAGGACUGAACUGGGUCAAAUCAGGACAGAACAGGACUAAACCAGGGAUAAACUGGGACUAAACCAGGAAUGGAGCAGGACUGAACUGAGUCUAAACCAGGACUAAACCUGGACUGAAUCGGGACUCAACUGGCUAAACCAGAACUAAAUCAGGAUGAAACCAGGGCUAAAUCGGG
ensembl:lncRNA